UCACCUAACUGUACCUUGGAGGUGUUGAUUUAUUCCUGAACAACAUUACCAUCUCCAACGUGUGACACUUAAGCAUGCUGAUCUACUCAGUCCCAGUUAGAA